UACAGAGGGUGCGAGCGUUAAUCGGAAUUACUGGGCGUAAAGCGUGCGCAGGCGGUUUUGUAAGACAGAUGUGAAAUCCCCGGGCUUAACCUGGGAAUGGCAUUUGGGACUGCAAGGCUUGAGUGUGGCAGAGGAGACUGGAAUUCCUGGUGUAGCAGUGAAAUGCGUAGAUAUCAGGAGGAACACCGAUGGCGAAGGCAGGUCUCUGGGCUGACACUGACGCUCAUGCACGAAAGCGUGGGGAGCAAACAGG
rnacentral:rRNA from 1 species